GGAGAUUACUGUCACAUUGAAAGAUGAAGAAGAGGAGAUAGGAUAUCUGAUUAACACCAGAGAGAGACCAGACUCUCACUAUGACAGCAGGAAGAGUCCUUCAGGGAAACCAGACCCAGAGACACCCAAACCAGAGAGACAACACCACUGCUCCCAUUGUGAAAAGAGUUUUCGCUGGUUAGGGAACCUAAAACGCCAUGAGAGGACACACACAGGAGAAAAGCCAUACCACCGCUUCCAAUGUGAAAAGAGAUUUUCCAGAUCAGGGGACUUAAAAGCUCAUGAGUGAAUUAGUGAAUAGACACAGAGCUUAAUGUGAGUUUUCUUGAGUAGCACUCCUGAUCUUGCGCUGAUAGUGCGCUGUAAUAUUCAGAAUACAUUGUGAAAAUCUAAAAUCUUCGCUCACCAUUUUUGCUCCAGGCAGAUAUACUACAUCCAUAACUAGCCGUUUCCUCAUCAGGAGGGAGGUGUUUCUGCAAUCAAAUUGUGUGCGCAUCGCCCUCGUGCUGCAAUUUUAGCAAACACAGAAAGGGGCCGAUAUUGGAGACCAAAAGUCGUCUGGCACAGUGCUUAGGAUUUCAACAACUUGAAUAACUUAUUUCUAGCCUACAAUCAUCGAUGUUACUACAAAAGUAAAAACAAGACAAAAUAGAACUUUCUCACUUGACUGUCUUAAGACAAUUGUCAAAUAAUUUUAACAUUCAUUACAGAUGUCAAUUGUUGUAUAACAUGGCUACGCUGUUGGCAUCACCUUUUACUAUGGAUUUCCGCUGUUGUGGGCCUUUAACCAUCUGCCUGACUCUGUUCACACAGGAAAGAGACGUGACUAUCUUGGAUCCUCUGGGGAGCCUCAACAACCUCAUGAUGCUGACGAGGCAGAGAAAGGGCUCUCCAGAUCUGAACUCCUCAAGAAGCACCAGCAGAGACCCACGGGGAAAAAAUCUCACUGCUGUUCUGACUGUGGGAAGAGAUUCACCUCCUCAGCAGGCAUUACAAUUCAUCAAAGAAUCCACACAGGAGAGAAACCUUAUAGCUGUGAUCAAUGUGGGAAGAGAUAUCUUACAUGUAGCAGUCUAACUAAACACCAGAGAACACACACAGGAGAGAAACUUUUUAGCUGCUCUGACUGUGGAAAGAGUUUUGUUUCUUCAGGAUGUUUAGAAUCACACCAGAGAACACACACAGGAGAGAAACCUUAUAGAUGUGAUCAAUGUGGGAAGAGUUUUGUUACUUCUAGCAGUCUGACUAAACACCAGAGAACACACACAGGAGAGAAACCGUAUAACUGUAAACAAUGUGGGAAGACUUUUAGUCAGUCAUUCAGCCUGAUAUCACACCAGAGAACGCACACAGGAGAGAAGCCUUAUAGAUGUGAUCAAUGUGGGAAGAGUUUUGUUACUUCUAGCAGUCUGACUAUACACCAGAGAACACACACAGGAGAGAAACCUUAUAGCUGUGAUCAAUGUGACAAGAGAUACUCUAGCAAAAGAUCUCUGAUCAAACAUCAGAAAAAACAUACAUGAAGGAGUUGUUUCACGAUAUCAAUUAAAUAAAAUCUCAAAAUGUAGAAUGUUUUAACAUUGUAGUAGGAGUAUUUUAAUGAAGUCACAAUUUAGAACCCUAAACGUUUGCCCCCUGUUCAAUUGAUUUCAGCGUGAUAUGGAUAUUAGGCUCGGGAAAAAUCCAGGCUCUGAAAUGGAAGAGUACUAUUUAUGUGGUCUAACAAAAAGUGACUAACAAAAAAAGAGUUGUGUUGCACUUACCGCGUUGGCAACCCACUUGAAUCAAUAUGUAGCUAGCUGUUUUCUACAAGUUGUCUUCUAACCAGUGAUGUACACAUUAUUCCCAGAUUCUGUGUGGUUUUUGAGCUGUUAGUUUGAUGAGUGAUGACAAAUAAGUGUUCCAUUUCUCCAAAAUGUAGCUGACUGUCUUCUGCAGGUUGUCCUCUAACCAGUGAGGUAACAUAUCUCCAAUUUCCAUUUGUUUUUUUAGCUGUGUUAGUUUCAACAGCACGUACAACCAGAUUUUCCCCCCUAAUCGAAAUCAGGGAUUCAUUGCUACUCGUCAAAACAACAGUGUUUCUGGUGGUUGUGCAGUUUAUAAGGUGCUUGUUUAAAAAAUACAGGUAAUAUGAUUAUUGUGGCAGAUGUUUGUUUAUAUUGUACUUGUUAUGUUUAGGUUUUCAAUAUAUCACAACCUGUUUCUGCAUAUUGGUUAUUGAUUUGGACACGUUAAAACUGUGUUUUGACAUUGGGGCUAUCCCACCAAAAUAGCAAAAUGUUGUUGACCAAUAUACGUUAGGUUUUAGUUGAAAUUAUGUGAUUUUGUCAAUGACUUUAAAACAACUUAAUUUCAACGUACUUGCAGCCUAUACACAUGGACGCAGAAUAAUACAUUGGCCAAUUUUUAUUAACAAUCUUACAUCACUCCAGUAUUUCUUGACAAAAUGUGACGCUAAUUGUCUUCAAGGAAGUUAGUUGUUCAACUGAAUGCAUCUUCCACAUUUAACCCAACCCCUCUGAAUCAGAGAGGUGCGGGGGGUUGCCUUAAUCAACGUCCACGGCAAGUUACCUGCCUUGCUCAGAACGACAGAUUUUUACAUUGUCAGCUCUGGGAUUCAGAUCCAGCAACCUUUCGGUUACUGGCCCAACGCUCUAACCACUAGGCUACCUGCCACUACUGAAGAAGCAUGUCUCAAAUCACCUACUCAUAUUUCAAACAUCCAGCCUGACAAAAGAUACAUGUUUUUAUAAUUCCUUCUGCACCAAACCAUGGGACGGUUGAGCUAACCUAGGCUAAUGCAAUUAGCAUACGGUUGUAAGUUACAAGAACAUUUCCCAGGACAUGGAUAUAUCUGAUAUUGGCAGAAAGCUUAAAUUAUUGUUAAUCUAACAGCAAUAUCCAAUUUACAGUAGCGAUUACAGUGAAAGAAUACCAUGCUAUUGUUUGAGGAGAGUGCAUAAUUUUGAACAUGAAAACAUAUUUAAAAAACAUAUUAGGCACAUUUUAGCAGUCUUGAUACAUUUUUACAGAGAUGCAAUGGUUCAUUGGAUCAGUCUAAAACGUUGCACAUACACUGCUGCCAUCUAGUGGACGAAAUCUAAAUUGCACCUGGGCUGGAAUAAUACAUUAUGGCCUUUCUCUUUCAUUUCAAAGAUGAUGAUACAAAAAACGGUUGUUUGUUUCUUUGUAUUAUCUUUAACCAGAUCUUUUCUGUUAUCUUUUCUGUUCUCCUACAUUCAUUUCACAUUUCCACAACUUUCAAAGUAUUUCCUUUCAAAUAGUACCACGAAUAUGCAUAUCCUUGCUUUAGGGCCUGAGCUUCAGACAGUUACAUUUUGUUAUGUCAUUUUAGGUGAAAAAAAGAGGGGUGGCAUUUCCUGAGUGAAUUAUUGCCAAUACAUAUGAACAAAGGGGUGUACAUUUGGUGUUGAUAUUUUAUAUUUACAAUUCAUGUAAUAUUUAGUAAUCAUGAUUAUUUCUGCAACCAACUGACAAUUUUCGGGGACAAAUUAUAUUGACAUUGUUGCCCUGCUUUUAGAAUAUUAGGGUUCAUUCUCAGAUGUGCCAACCCAAAUGUAAAAGAGCAUGACAUUGGGGACUGGGCCCCGAUCCAACAACAUGCCUUUCCAGUGAACCCUGAAAAGAGAGAGAAUCUCCACAGUGAGGUGGAAAGUAACUACAGAUAUUGCAGGAGUUUCCUCUUGAAAUCAGACAUGUCUGUGGUAAGGACAACUUGGUUGAUGAUUGUCUCAAGGGUGGGCAGUCAAAAAGUUUUGUGUUCUGCAUUUAGCCAGUGAGUUGCCAUGGAUCCCAAUUUAUUUUGAUUUUCCGUAUUGGAGAUGAGUUAUGUUUGGGCUCGUUCCAAGGGGAUGAGAGUUUUAGGAAGACGAGAGUUCUAGAAGCUAGUGGGGAAAACAUUUUUUUUUUCUUGUUUUUAAUUAUUGACAGUCAGGUGACACCAUGUUUAUUUUGGUGAAGUUGAAGCAUUGUAGUUGAUUAUAAUGUGAAAUGGAAGUUGUUUUCUGUUGGUUGUAAGCAUUCUCUUACGGUGUUACAGUCUUUGGUUUUUCCAUUUAUGUUUUGAGGUUUGGAGAUUUAGUGGGUCUCAUGGUGGGUGUCUUUUAGGUCCCAGUUGUUGUUACUAGUCAACUUUCUGUGGACACAGUGCAAAACUGCAAGAUUAUGUUAUAAUACUUUUAUUGCCUCAAAUGGUUGUUUUAUGCAACAGAAUAGAGGGUUCUUAUAACUAUUGUGUCUGUGUGUUCUACUAAGGAUGAGCCUCUGGGAGAAAACACUGACCGGAGAUUUACAAUAUCUUUUGGGUGAUAAAACCUAAAGAGACUGCAUUCCAGAGCAUGAGUUAAUGUUUCUGUUCUAUAUGGUACCAGGGAGAGACAACCUCAGGGCUAGACCCUGGUCUCUACACAAAGAAUACUGUUUUUACAGCAGAUAUUGUCUGCUGAGAAUAAUAUGUAUCUUUCAUACAAAUCUUAAUCUUGUGACCCGUUCUAUACAUCUGUUGUUCGUCAUGUAGGUUGAAAGGGGUGUAUCUUGGCUGUAAAAGACCUUUGUAUCGUGGCUCUCAACGAAUCAUAUGGGGGUGAUUCGUCGACCAGCCAUCAUUAUCAUAGAGGACUCAAUUGAUUCACUUUAUAUUUGUGUGUUGUCUUGACCUGCUCCAUUAUUAAGUGAUUAAAGAUUUAGUUUAAGACUAA